GCUGGCGGCAGGCCUAACACAUGCAAGUCGAGCGGAUGAAGGGAGCUUGCUCCUGGAUUCAGCGGCGGACGGGUGAGUAAUGCCUAGGAAUCUGCCUGGUAGUGGGGGAUAACGUCCGGAAACGGGCGCUAAUACCGCAUACGUCCUGAGGGAGAAAGUGGGGGAUCUUCGGACCUCACGCUAUCAGAUGAGCCUAGGUCGGAUUAGCUAGUUGGUGGGGUAAAGGCCUACCAAGGCGACGAUCCGUAACUGGUCUGAGAGGAUGAUCAGUCACACUGGAACUGAGACACGGUCCAGACUCCUACGGGAGGCAGCAGUGGGGAAUAUUGGACAAUGGGCGAAAGCCUGAUCCAGCCAUGCCGCGUGUGUGAAGAAGGUCUUCGGAUUGUAAAGCACUUUAAGUUGGGAGGAAGGGCAGUAAGUUAAUACCUUGCUGUUUUGACGUUACCAACAGAAUAAGCACCGGCUAACUUCGUGCCAGCCGCCGCGGUAAUU
rnacentral:rRNA from 1 species